rnacentral:lncRNA from 1 species
GAUCUCAUAAGUAAUAAAAUCAAAUCCCACAUGAUUUUUUGCACUUGGUUUUACCUGAAACACUAUUCACAAUGAAAUUCAGUCUAAGCAUGUAAACAAAAAAAAUUUGUUCCAAGUUGUAAUAUGUGCCCAAUGGUAGAUUAGAUAUUUUCUUAUUCAAGAUUUCAGAUCAAAACUCAAACAUUAGCUGAAGUAUAAAUAAGACCACAGAAUACGAAUUGAUAAUGAUUAAUCUUAUACCCUCAUUAUGCUUGUCCCAAUCAAAACAAACCCUAUUUACAAAGAAAUAUCUCUGCAAUAACAUAUGAGCGUCCAACAGAUGGACGUCCAUCCAUGCCAGUUUUAUCCGAUGGAAAGAGUGAAAUUUUGAACCACACGCCCAACAUUCUGCAUUUCUGUGCUUAAUUCCACUGAGAUCUCCAGAUACUCUUCACGUACUUGUUAUAAUAUUAAAUUUGCUAUAAUGUCAUUGCAGUCUUGAACCCAAUAAGCCCUUAGCUGACACAACCAAACCUCUCUACUAGGACACUGCUACUUACAUUUGACAUAUUCAUAAUCAAAACAAGAAAAAAAAAGCAACGAGAAAUAUUUGCCAAAUGCAAAUUAAUAUCUGUAUACUUGUUACAACAAAACCGGACAGCAUAUUCUAGCAUGCAUGAAAUAAUAUUUUUCCCAUCAACCUUUGACAAGGAGACGCAAACCACUUGAAAAGUCUGAAAAUUUUUGAAGUCUUGCAGCUUAUGAUCAAAACUUCAGUCCAAGACAGAUAAAGUUUGAGAAUAUUUGGAUGUUGAUCGUCAACAAGACACUAGAGGUGCAAAUCUGUAAAGUUACUUGUCAUCUAAAGUGUAGCUAUGCAACUAUUUUGCUCAUCACAUCCAGUGAACAAAUUAGAAUAGCAUGUGAUCCAUAGUAUUAGUAGUUUUAGCAAAACAUUUUCAAAUACACUAAGACUUGAGCCACGGAUUAAGUAUAUUCCAGCGCAUUAGGUUUUUAAGCCAAUGCACAAGUCCAAAAUAGUGGUACAAGAAGCAAAAUUUAUAUCACAACCAACACAAAGAUACCAAAAAUGAAAAAUAUCACAUGCCAAAUAAAAAUCAUUUCUUUGAUAUUUUCUUUUAACUGACUUUCAUCUAAGUAUAAAACCAAGAAAGCAUCCAAGAAUUUACCUUGAUGCUUGUUCGUAGCUAAAAAACUUGACUGCCGAAUUGGGGACAAUCCGUGCACAGUUAGUACCAUUGCCUCUGAAUAGUCCUCGUAAACCCUCAGAUUUCCAUAUAUACUUGAGGCCUUGGAUAGUUCCAUUAUAUUGAAUGCUAUGAGGAUUUUGAACCUGUAUUUACAACAAAAUCCAUAUUAGUAAUAAAUCAAGAAAGCCAUGUUGUUCAAAGACUUGUUUCUGUUCAAAACUCACACAAAUGCCAGAAUUAAUGAACAAUAUUGAACAUAGCAUGAUAACUUCAGUUGUAUUGCAUUAGCAAAUUAGUUGUGUUGCACUGGCAUAAACACCUGCAUUUACAGUUGUAUGCAAUUAUAUGUGCACGUUAAGUUCAAAAAAAAAAAGGAGCUUCAAGAUCUGGUCACAUGAAAUAUUGAUGCUUAAUUUGUAUAUCUAAAAAACCAAGAAGAAUCCAGACACCAAUGGAAAACUUAAAAUCUCACAAUUGAUGUCCAGAUGCUUAUCUUGUUUACCAAGUGACAAUGACAUAUCCAAUUGAAAAAAUAAGCCAACCCCAUCAACCAUCUCUAUAGUAUAAAACAUCACAAUAAAAAAAAUGCUUCAUCAUGCCUGCGAAACCAACUGGUCCAAUCAAGUAACCCCAUUUUUAUUGCAUUAUGCUAUCAUCACUAUAUGCAUCAUAACCUCAUGAGGUAUAAUACACUUGUCUAGAUGUAGCAUAAGAUCUCAUUUGAAAAUCUCAUAAGAUUAGUGAUAAGAUCAUUUAGUCUCAUAUUGGUUAAGCAAUAGAGGAACCAAGGACACAUAAACCUCCCGGGUCUCCCUUACCCUCAGAGGCGCCUUUUGGAGCCCACGUGCUCCAAAAGGGCAAAACCUUGCAGGUACGCUCAUCCAUUCAAAGCGGACAAUUCCUCACGAGCCCAUUGCCUUUUGGAGCCCGAGCGCCUCGCUUCAUUUCCAUGCGACGCGCUUGAAAGAGGCCCAACGCCUGGGCACUCGCCCGAGCCCAAGCGUCGGGGGCUUCGGGCGAACGCCUGGGUUAAACCAGGCGACCAAAUCAGAUUUUUAGGUCUGGUUGGUCCCCGGUGCUUUAGUUGGUUCAAUCGAACCAACUAAAUCACCGAUAUCAGGCUCCCUCUCGCGAUUUCCCCGACUUCCCCAACCCUAGGACGCUCGCGAUUUUUCCGCUGAGAUUUCUUCUCCGUUGUCACUGCUCUCUGCUGCCGCUGCCACAAUCGCUGCUCGCCGUUGUUGUCAUCGCACGCCGCUGCUAUCGCCGCUCCCCACUGCUGUCGCCGCUCCCACUCCCACUAUCGCUUGCCGCUCCCGCUCCAACUACCACUGUCGUUGCCUCAACAGCCUCGAUCUUCUCACUAUACUGUUAACAGUAUAUUAACAAUAUACUGCUAACUGUAUACUAAUAAUAAUAUUUUUUUUAUUAGAUUAAUAAUAUAUUAUUUUAAUUUUAAUUCUAUUAAUUUUUAUUUAUUUAAAAUUAUUUUUAGGUUUCAGAAUAAAUGGCAAGUGUACAGAGCAACUUAAUAGAUUUCAUGUAAAAUUUUAUUAUUUUGAUUUUUGAGACAUUCUAUUAAUGUGACAUUGUGAUUUUGUACCCGAUUAUCUUAAUUUAAUAACAUAUUUUUUUAUUUAAAUAAUUAUAUUUAUUAAUUAUAUUAUAAUUUUUUUAUAUUUUAGCGCCUCACUUCGCUCGGGCGAGCACCUAGCGCCUCAAGCGUUUUUGGACCUUGGCGCCUAGCGCUUUUUAAAUCAAUGAUCGCACCAAUGACCGCCGACUAAAUGACUUAUCAAAUUGGCAUUAGAAGAAGGGCCCUUGAGCCCUUGGCUCCCCUCCAAGAGGGGGCACUGAUAAGGCCAUUUAGUCCCAGAUUGAUUGAGUAGGGGGACCAAGGGCUCAUAAGUCCCCCGGGUCUCCCUUACACUCAGAGGUGCUUUUUGGCGCUCACGCGCUCUGAAAGGGUAAAACCGUGCGGGUACACUCAUCUGCCCAAAGCGGAGAAUUUCUAACAAGCCCAUCGCACUAGUGACUGCCGACUAAGUGACUUAUCAAAUUUGACACCCAUCGUGGGUCGUAUCGGAUUCCUGCUGAACCUCGUCGAGCCUACGAUUCAUGGCUUGGAGUUAUGCCUUCAUCGAGUGUUCUCAGGAGUCGGCGGACUGGGCCUCAGACUCUGUCAGGGUUUUCGUGCGGUUUGGCAAAGCGCUACACUCCGCGGUUGGAGGGUGUGGUGCGGUGUCACUCAUCCCUUCCGACCGAGGAGGUUCUUGGAAGAUGGGGCGUGGACUCUCCGGUUGAGCUUCAGGUGGAGGAUGUGCAAUCGACGACUGGAGGGCCAGUCGUUGCGUGGAAUCACUAGCUGCAUCAACUGGGGGAGGAGUGGGGCGAUGGCUUGCGUCAUGUCGAUGAGGGUUUGCAACUGUUGAGCGAGGCCCAGGAACGCCUCUGACGGGGCAAGGGGCCCAUUCCCAAUCCUAGGGGGAAAGUCUUGGGUCGUUGAGUAGGCACCAGUAGAAACAGAACAAAGGCUACUCUUAGAAUUAUAAGGACAGCCAAUUGGUACAAAAGGAAGGGUAUCAGGGGAACAAACAAUUAGUACCAGCACUAAAGUUCUUGUAUUAUAGCCAACCAAAUCGAUUGAGUGAUAAGGGGCUGUGAUAAGUUAAUAUCUGACUGCAUAUUGAUUGAAGUGAAAAAUGAUUGGCUGAAUCAAUCAAUCCAAACUUGGACAACGAAAAAUCAGCUUGUCGUUUCAAUUCAGAUCAGCCAAUCGGACUAGAAUUGAUUGACUCAGCAAUUUCAUUACACUACAACAACUACGAUAUAUCUGGCGACUGGUUGUCAGAACCACUUACUAUUGCAGAAACAACCAAAUCGGUGUCAACCAAUCUUAAAACCAUGGGAUAUGAAUAAUUGGUUCGAUGUUGAUCAGAUCAACAAGACACUA